rnacentral:rRNA from 1 species
UGAAUACGAGAUGCUACGGCGUCGAAGCAGUCUAUGUCAUACUUCCAAGAAAAGCUCGCACUGUCAUAAACAAAUAAUGCCUGUACCAUAACCGACACAGGUGGGUAGGUAGAGUAUACUAAGGGGCGCGAGAUAACUCUCUCUAAGGAACUCGGCAAAAUGACUCCGUAACUUCGGGAGAAGGAGUGCCUUAUUUAUAAGGUUGCAAUAACAAGAUCCAAGCAACUGUUUAUCAAAAACACAGGUCUCCGCUAAGUCGUAAGACGAUGUAUGGGGGCUGACGCCUGCCCAGUGCCAGAAGGUUAAAGAAGUUGGUUAGCAUUCGCGAAGCUGAUAACUGAAGCCCUGGUGAACGGCGGCCGUAACAAUAACGGUCCUAAGGUAGCGAAAUUCCUUGUCGGGUAAGUUCCGACCCGCACGAAAGGCGUAAUGAUUUGGAUACUGUCUCGGAGAGGGGCUCGGUGAAAUAGACUUGUCUGUGAAGAUGCGGACUACCUGCACCAGGACAGAAAGACCCUAUGAAGCUUUACUGUAACUUGAGAUUGAAAUUGGACUUUACUUGCGCAGUAUAGGUGGGAGGCGUUGAUAAUAUUCUUGCGGGAUUAUUUGAGCCAUCAGUGAUAUACCACUCUUGUAAUGUUAGAUAUCUAACUUUGUAUCAUUAUCUGGUCAAAGGACAGUUUCAGGCGGGCAGUUUGACUGGGGCGGUCGCCUCCUAACGGUAACGGAGGCGCACAAAGGUUUCCUCUGAACGGGUAGAAAUCGUAUCUAGAGUGUAAAGGCAUAAGGAAGCUUGACUGUGAGACCUACAAGUCGAGCAGGGACGAAAGUCGGUCUUAGUGAUCUGACGGUGCUGAGUGGAAAGGCCGUCACUCAACGGAUAAAAGUUACUCUAAGGAUAACAGGCUGAUCUCCCCCAAGAGUUCACAUCGACGGGGAGGUUUGGCACCUCGGUGUCGGCUCAUCGCAUCCUGGGGCGGUAGUACGUCCCAAGGGUUGGGCUGUUCGCCCAUGAAAGCGGUACGCGAGCUGGGUUCAGAACGUCGUGAGACAGUUCGGUCCAUAUCCGGUGUAGGCGUUAGAAUAUUGAGAGGAGCCUUCUUUAGUACGAGAGGACCGAGAAGGACAUACCUCUGGUGUACCAGUUAUCGUGCCAACGGUAAACGCUGGGUAGCUAUGUAUGGAGUGGAUAACCGCUGAAAGCAUCUAAGUGGGAAGCCCACCUCAAGAUAAGUA